AACGAACGCUGGCGGCAGGCCUAACACAUGCAAGUCGAACGCUCCGCAAGGGGAGUGGCGCACGGGUGAGUAACACGUGGGAACCUACCUUCUGGUACGGAACAACCAAGGGAAACUCUGGCUGAUACCGUAUACGACCUCCGGGUGAAAGAUUGAUCGCCGGAAGAGGGGCCCGCGUCCGAUUAGGUAGUUGGUGAGGUAACGGCUCACCAAGCCUGCGAUCGGUAGCUGGUCUGAGAGGANGACCAGCCACACUGGGACUGAGACACGGCCCAGACUCCUACGGGAGGCAGCAGUGGGGAAUAUUGGACAAUGGGCGCAAGCCUGAUCCAGCCAUGCCGCGUGAGUGAUGAAGGCCUUCGGUUGUAAG
rnacentral:rRNA from 1 species